rnacentral:lncRNA from 1 species
GGGGAUGAGCUUAUCUCUAGAAACUCUUAUCAAUGUGGAAGGCAAGGACUUAAAUCUGCAUAAUAACCUCACUCUUGUUUACUGUGCUUUUCUGGCAAUCUCCCAUAACUGGCUCCUCCCACCCCCAACAUCCUCCUUUGUCUUUAGCUGAGGAUGGUAUUUAAGUCUGGCCAGAAGGACUUAGAGUGGGUAGAGGAAAUGUCUUCCUCUCCUACAGUUUAGCAACUUAAACGGGAUAAAAUUUCACUGCCUGGACACUGCUCACUCCUGGACUGCUGCAGCCAAGAGAUCCUGGACCCCUGACAAGAACCAGCAAAAGGACCUGAGAGCCAUUCUUUUGAAAUGCAAAUGUUUCUCAGAAACUGGAAGAUUAGCCCUGAGAUAACUGCUACCGAUCCUCCUCUUUUUGCUGAGGAAGACUGGCCCUGAGCGAACAUCCAUGCCCAUCUUCCUCUGCUUUAUACGUGGGACGCCUGCCACAGCGUGACAUGCCAAGUGGUGCCAUGUCUGCACCCGGGAUCCAAACUGGCGAACCCCGGGCCCCCGGAGUGGAACAUGCGCACUUAACUGCUGCGCCACCGGGACGGCCCCUAAAGCUCUCUCCUUCUUGAUGCCAGCACCUCACCUCCUUCAAACAUCUCGAGGCUUUGACGUCAUGGACUUGCUCCAGAACCCCAGGAGUCUGAGUUGGGAUUGUCCCACUGGGGCUUGCUGCAAAUACUCCACCAUUUUUUCCCACCACUAAUAUUUCCAACAUCCUAGUGUCUGCUGGGUCAUAGACCAAGCACCAGAGCUGCUUGAACUACGUCCUGAACCUGCCACGGGGCCCUUUCCUGCUCUGAGUUCCAUUCAGAUCUGGUAAUCUUCUAUGUCACCUGGCAUAUGGGCCAAAGC